rnacentral:rRNA from 1 species
UACGUAGGGGGCAAGCGUUGGUCCGGAAUUAUUGGGCGUAAAGAGCGCGUAGGCGGUCCGAUAAGUCGGCUGUGAAAGUCAAGGGCUCAACCCUUGAAAGCCGGCCGAUACUGUCGGACUAGAGUCCGGAAGAGGCGAGUGGAAUUCCCGGUGUAGCGGUGAAAUGCGCAGAUAUCAAGGAGGAACACCAAUAGCGAAGGCAGCUCGCUGGGACGUUACUGACACUGAGGCGCGAAAGCGUGGGGAGCGAACAGG